CUGCAGAUGGAUCAUCG
rnacentral:rRNA from 1 species